UCGAGAAUUUUUCACAAUGGGGGAAACCCUGAUGGAGCGACGCCGCGUGGAGGACGAAGGCCUUCGGGUUGUAAACUCCUGUCAUGCGGGAACAAGAAAGUGAUAGUACCGCAAGAGGAAGAGACGGCUAACUCUGUGCCAGCAGCCGCGGUAAUACAGAGGUCUCGAGCGUUGUUCGGAUUCAUUGGGCGUAAAGGGUGCGUAGGUGGCGAUGUAAGUCUGGUGUGAAAUUUCGGGGCUCAACCUCGAAACUGCAUUGGAUACUGCGUUGCUAGAGGAUUGUAGAGGAGAGUGGAAUUCACGGUGUAGCAGUGAAAUGCGUAGAUAUCGUGAGGAAGACCAGUUGCGAAGGCGACUCUCUGGGCAAUUCCUGACACUGAGGCACGAAGGCUAGGGGAGCAAACGGG
rnacentral:rRNA from 1 species